rnacentral:rRNA from 1 species
UGCCGCCUUGAGGGAUGACGGCCUUUUGGGUUGUAAAACUUAUUUUAGCAGGGAAGAAGGCGAAAAGGGACGGUACCUUGCAGAAAAAAGCGCCCGGGCUAAUUACGUGCCCAGCAGCCGCGGUUAAUAUGUAGGGGGGCAAGCGUUAUCCUGGAAAUUAUUGGGCGUAAAGAGAAUCGUAAGGCGGUUUGUUCGCGUCUUGCUGUGAAAUCCCGAGGGCUCAACCUCGGGCCUGCAGUGGGUACGGGCAGACUAGAAUGCGGUAGGGGGAGAUUGGAAUUUCCUGGUGUAGCGGUGGAAUGAGCAGAUAUCAGGAGGAACACCGAUGGCGAAGGCAGAUCUCUGGGCCGUAACUGACGCUGAGGAGCGAAAGGGUGGGGAGCAAACAGGCUUAGAUAACCUGGUAGUCCACCCCGUAAACGUUGGGAACUAGUUGUGGGGACCAUUCCACGGUUUCCGUGACGCAGCUAACGCAUUAAGUUCCCCGCCUGGGGAGUACGGCCGCAAGGGUAAAACUCAAAGGAAUUGACGGGGAGCCGCACAAGAGGCGGAGCAUGCGGAUUAAUUCGAUGCAACGCGAAGAACCUUACCAAGGCUUGACAUACACCAGAACGGGCCAGAAAUGGUCAACUCUUUGGACACUGGUGAACAGCUGGUGCAUGGUGGUCGUCAGCUCGUGUCGUGAGAUGUUGGGUUAAGUCCCGCAACGAGCGCAACCCUCCUUCUAUGUUGCCAGCACGUAAUGGUGGGAACUCAUGGGAUACUGCCGGGGUCAACUCGGAGGAAGGUGGGGAUGACGUCAAAUCAUCAUGCCCCUUAUGUCUUGGGCUUCACGCAUGCUACAAUGGCCGGUACAAAGGGCUGCAAUACCGUGAGGUGGAGCGAAUCCCAAAAAGCCGGUCCCAGUUCGGAUUGAGGUCUGCAACUCGACCUCAUGAAGUAGGAGUCGCUAGUAAUCGCAGAUCAGCAACGCUGCGGUGAAUACGUUCCCGGGUCUUGUACACACCGCCCGUCAAGUCAUGAAAGUCGGUAACACCUGAAGCCGGUGGCCCAACCCUUGUGGAGGGACGCCGUCGCAAGGUGGGAUCGGUAAUUAGGAGUAAGUCGUAACAAGUGCCCCGCC